AGAAAAGAGUGAAGAAGCUACUAGAGAAGGUAACUUCAGGCCCAUUUGAACUUUAUUCAUAUUAGCUAAAUCUUUUUUUUGCCCCUUUUUUGCCCUUUUUAACGUGGAUUUCUUUCGGCAACGUUCCAUUGUAAUUCGACGACUUGCAGGAGGGAAGAUAUCAGGACCUUCUCUUGGAACAUGGAGUAUUCCUCCAGUAAUUGAAGAUGAGGAUUUCUAUAGAUCUCAAAUUUUGAAUUCCAAGUGAUAAGUUGGACCUGCAGGCUCACAGAUAAUCAACUGAAGGUAAUGCAAAACCUCAUCAAUUUUUGCAACCUAUUGGAUUGAAUAUGAGAUGGUUACUGUUUAUUAAACAGACAAUUAAUUAGGUGAUGCUUGUUAACCCAUUAAUUUCUGUUUUUCUGUUUAAUUUUUUUCACAAAAAUAAAAACUUGUUUGUGUUAUUUAUAAUUGUAAAUAAAGCAAAAUUAUUACCACUAUUUUUGAAAAUAAUGAUAACAAAAAAAAAAUCUAUUAUUUUUUUUACAAAAUCACCGCCUCUACAUCCCUCUCACCCAACCCUUCACCGCUGCCACCGCCUCCGCCACCGCCCCGCCACCACGCCGCUGACUAUACACCAACUUGCCUUGGUGCCUAUGGCUGAGCUUGCUAUAUAACUUAGGCGAUAACAGUUUGAGUACCUAGACCCUCACCUUCACCAACCUUUCUAUGUCGGAGUAUUUUCCCUCUCCUCUCUCCCUUUCUAAUAAACACAAUGGUCUAACUCCUCUAUAUUCUUCUCUCAGUUUUGCAAAGUUGAUAGAUGCCCAUUCACUGUCUGCUCAUCUUCUUUUCGCCAAACCCAUCAAGUACUUGCACCUAUUUGAUGAAGCAGCUAUCAAGGCGGCUCAGGUAUUACAACUGUCUACAAAUUCUGCCUCCAUGUAUUGUAUAUACGAUGUAUGUAUACAUAUACGUUUAAUUUCUCAAGUCAAUUAGGUACUAUUAGGCAACGCGUUAUGUUGUACUUUGCUUAUUUUCAAUUAUGAUGAUUUGAAUUUUUGAGUUAUAAGUAGUGACCGUUUUGUAUCUCUCAAAUACAUAUCUUCACGCCUUUAAAUCUUGAAGUACGUAACAAACAUUUGAAAUCUUGUAUAUUUAUCUUGGCAAUAAUUAACUUGAGUUUGAAAUUUUUCGGGUUCAAUUUCAAACUCAAGUUAAUUAGGUUAUGAUAGACAACGCCUUAUGUUGUAUUUUCUCUAUUUCGUAUUAUGGCUGAUUUGAAUAUUUUGUAAUAAGUAGUGACGUUAUGCAUUUUUUUUGUUUUGGCGAAGACCUAAUUCCAUUGACUAUCGGGCUAAACUUCAACCACAAAUUAUUUAG
rnacentral:lncRNA from 1 species